rnacentral:piRNA from 1 species
AGGAGCAAAUCAUGUCUUAUACAUGGU